rnacentral:RNase_P_RNA from 1 species
GAAGCGGGCCAGGCGAUCGCGUGAUGCACAUGACGUGCACUAUGAGGAAAGUCCGGGCUCCAGAGGGCAGGAAGCCGGCUAACAGCCGGGCGGGGUGACCCGACGGAAAGCGCCGCAGAAAAGAAGACUCCCGCUGGCAGCUGUCGCUGCUGAGAGAAAAGCUGAAACGGUGGUGCAAAAGACCACCAGCGCCUUGGUGAUAGGGCGGCUUGGCAAGCCCCUUCCGGAGCAAGCGCAAAUAGGAGCGCUCCAGUGUGGCCCGCACUGCGCUCGGGUUGCGCGCUAAAGGCAAGCGGCAACGCUUGCUGUAGAUAAAUGACCGUCCACGACAGAACCCGGCUUAUCGGCUCGCUUCGCGC